rnacentral:rRNA from 1 species
UGCGUAGGCGGCCAAUUAAGUAGGGUGUGAAAGCUCUCGGCUCAACCGAGGAGUUGCGCUCUAAACUGGUUGGCUUGAGUGAGAUAGGGGUGUGUGGAACUUCCGGUGGAGCGGUGAAAUGUGUUGAUAUCGGAAGGAACACCGGUAGCGAAAGCGGCACACUGGGUCUCAACUGACGCUGAGGCACGAAAGCUAGGGGAGCGAAC